AAGAAAAUGACAGAGUGGUUAUGUGGUUGACUUGAAAUCAGUUUAUGGGGGUUCGACCCCUCCUUUUCUCG
rnacentral:tRNA from 1 species